rnacentral:snRNA from 1 species
GUGCUCACUUCAGCAGCACAUACAGAAAAUUGGAAUGAGACAGAGAUUAAUCUGACCCUUGUGCAAGAAUGACAUGUAAAUGUGUGAAGCGUCCAUAUUUUCA